AGGAGAGUCAAGUUGCUCCUCAGUGAAGACAACCAUGCUGGAUUGCAUUAUCACCUUUCAUUGAGACGCUCUCCUUGCAACCCAGCUCUGACAACGCAGGCUGACAACAGUCACCUUGUGGCUAUCCUGCUUAUUCAACAGCAAGGAUUUGGAUUGUUUUGUCCAUUGAAAAAAAAUAGAAGAAAGAAAUAUUGAAGGGGCCUGGAACACUGACGACCAUACAGAGGCCUUGGACUGCUCACCUCCAGACUUCAAAUGUGCCUGUGAUGCAGUUGGAUGUCCUGUGUCAAAAACUCUCCUUACACAUGAACAAGCCGAAAGUCAGCUUCUCUAGGAGGCCAGUUCUCAAGCAUUUUUGUAGAAGGGUCAGAAGUUUAUGAAUGAUAUUCA